GCGGUGGUGCAGCGGUUCAGCACGCGCUCCCGGAAGGAGUGAGAAUUGGGUUUGAAUCCCAGCUGACGCA